rnacentral:rRNA from 1 species
GGUGUAGCAAUACAUGCUGACGAGCGGCGAACGGGUGAGUAAUGCUUCGGAAUCUACCUUAUGGUGGGGAAUAACUAGCCGAAAGGUUAGCUAAUACCGCAUACGUCCUACGGGAGAAAGCAGGGGAUCGUAAGACCUUGCGCCAAAAGAUGAGCCGAAGUCGGAUUAGCUAGUUGGUAGGGUAACGGCCUACCAAGGCGACGAUCCGUAGCUGGUCUGAGAGGACGACCAGCCACACUGGGACUGAGACACGGCCCAGACUCCUACGGGAGGCAGCAGUGGGGAAUAUUGGACAAUGGGGGAAACCCUGAUCCAGCGACGCCGCGUGUGUGAAGAAGGCCUGCGGGUUGUAAAGCACUUUUAGUGGGGAUGAAAUGUUCAUGGCUAAUACCCGUGGAUUUUGACCUAACCCACAGAAAAAGCACCGGCUAACUCUGUGCCAGCAGCCGCG